GCUUGAGCAGCUUCCAGGUGUUGCUGGAUGGUACGAACUUGCUGCUCCGCUUCGUUCACGAAAUUGAUGCCAUAAUACCUUCGCUCUCCGGCUUCUAUCCAAUUCAACGGGGUUCGACACUUUCGACCAUACAGGGCUUCAAAUGGAUCCAUCUUGAUACUCUCGUGAUAACUAUUGUUGUAGGAGAACUCAGCCAAUGGCAACCAC
rnacentral:lncRNA from 1 species